rnacentral:rRNA from 1 species
GACGAACGCUGGCGGCGUGCUUAACACAUGCAAGUCGAACGGAAAGGCCCUGCUUUUGUGGGGUGCUCGAGUGGCGAACGGGUGAGUAACACGUGAGUAACCUGCCCUUGACUUUGGGAUAACUUCAGGAAACUGGGGCUAAUACCGGAUAGGAGCUCCUGCUGCAUGGUGGGGGUUGGAAAGUUUCGGCGGUUGGGGAUGGACUCGCGGCUUAUCAGCUUGUUGGUGGGGUAGUGGCUUACCAAGGCUUUGACGGGUAGCCGGCCUGAGGGGGUGACCGGCCACAUUGGGACUGAGAUACGGCCCAGACUCCUACGGGAGGCAGCAGUGGGGAAUAUUGCACAAUGGGCGGAAGCCUGAUGCAGCAACGCCGCGUGCGGGAUGACGGCCUUCGGGUUGUAAACCGCUUUCGCCUGUGACGAAGCGUGAGUGACGGCAAUGGGUAAAGAAGCACCGGCUAACUACGUG